GCGAAUAUAGUAUAAAGGUUAUUAUUCUAGCCUUCCAAGUUAGAGAUAUGGGUUCAAUUCCCAUUAUUCGCU
rnacentral:tRNA from 1 species